UACGAGGGGGGCAAGCGUUGUUCGGAAUUAUUGGGCGUAAAGGGCGCGUAGGCGGUCUGAUAAGUCUUGUGUGAAAUCUCUGGGCUCAACCCAGAGUCUGCACACGAAACUGUCGGGCUUGAGUAUGGGAGAGGUGCGUGGAAUUUCCGGUGUAGCGGUGAAAUGCGUAGAUAUCGGAAGGAACACCUGUGGCGAAAGCGGCACACUGGACCAAAACUGACGCUGAGGCGCGAAAGCUAGGGGAGCAAACAGG
rnacentral:rRNA from 1 species